rnacentral:rRNA from 1 species
CCCUUAGAUGUUCUGGGCCGCACACGCGCUACACUGAAGGAGGCAGCGUGUACUCCUGGAUCGAAAGAUUUGGGUAACCCGCGAAUCUCCUUCGUGCUAGGGAUUGAGGUUUGCAAUUAUCCUUCAUGAACGAGGAAUUCCCAGUAAGUGCAAGUCAUAAGCUUGCGCUGACUACGUCCCUGCCCUUUGUACACACCGCCCGUCGCUACUACCGAUUGAAUGAUUUAGUGAGGACUUCGGACUGGGACCGAUGCGGUUUUCGGGCUGCGUCGGUAUUCUGGAAAGAUGUCCAAACUGUAUCAUUUAGAGGAAGUAAAAGUCGUAACA